GACGUAGGGCGCGAGCGUUGUCCGGAGUUACUGGGCGUAAAGCGCACGCAGGCGGUCUGCUAAGUUUGGAGUGACAGUUGGUGGCUUAACUGCCAAAGUGCUUCGAAAACUGACAGACUUGAGGGCUUCAGAGGGACACGGAAUUCCGGGUGGAGUGGUGAAAUGCGUAGAGAUCCGGAGGAACACCAAAGGCGAAGGCAGUGUCCUGGGGAGUACCUGACGCUCAGGUGCGAAAGCCAGGGGAGCGAACGGG
rnacentral:rRNA from 1 species